rnacentral:lncRNA from 1 species
CAGGAAGGAAGCAAUGGGUGGACUACAACCCCACAAGGGUAAACUUCAUCCUAUUAUAGCCUCAGAAUGUUGGCCCACACAGACAAGGAGCAAAGACCACCAGACCAACAGUAUAACCCACCGCUCUCUUCACUACAAUGGAAGCCUAUGGAGAAUCCAUAACACAGACACACACCUUCAAAGGCAGAGCAGGCAACAGAUGGCACACAGACAGCAGAGUUGGGGACAGAUAUGCAGGGACAGACUGGCAGAGACAGGGAGUCUCAGGACCUGAGCCCUAGGACCAUGCCUCAGGGCUACCUGGCAUGAUGACUCCUUGCUGUCCCCAGUGCACCUGGUCGUGCUGAUGCUCCAGUUUCAACUGUUCUGCCUGCGGCUAUGGAACCCUGACCUGUUCACCGGAUGUGCUUGUUGCACCCUCGACAACUACUAUGAUUAUUAUUAUUUGACCAUGCUGGUCAUUUAUGAACCUUUGAACAUCUUGGCCAUGUGCUGUUAU